AACGUAGGACACAAGCGUUAUCCGGAAUUACUGGGCGUAAAGGGCGUGCAGGCGGUUGCGUAAGUUAGGCGUGAAAGACUUCGGCUAAACCGGGGGAGGUCGUCUGAUACUGCGCAACUAGAGUAUGGUAGAGGCGUGUAGAAUUCCGGGUGUAGUGGUGAAAUGCGUAGAGAUCCGGAGGAAUACCAGUGGCGAAGGCGACUACCUGGCCUGUUCUUGACGCUGAGGCGCGAAAGCUAGGGGAGCAAACGGG
rnacentral:rRNA from 1 species